rnacentral:rRNA from 1 species
AUAUCGAAACAUGUCCGGAAGUGGGGGAUAACGUAGCGAAAGUUACGCUAAUACCGCAUAUGCCCUGAGGGGGAAAGGGGGGGAUCGCAAGACCUCUCGCGGCAGCAGUGGGGAAUAUUGGACAAUGGGCGCAAGCCUGAUCCAGCCAUGCCGCGUGAGUGAUGAAGGCCUUAGGGUUGUAAAGCUCUUUCGACGGGGACGAUGAUGACGGUACCCGUAGAAGAAGCCCCGGCUAACUUCGUGCCAGCAGCCGCGGUAAUACGAAGGGGGCUAGCGUUGUUCGGAAUUACUGGGCGUAAAGCGCACGCAGGCGGUUCGAUCAGUCAGAAGUGAAAGCCCCGGGCUUAACCUGGGAACUGCUUUUGAUACUGUCGAGCUUGAAUCACGGAGAGGGUAGUGGAAUUCCGAGUGUAGAGGUGAAAUUCGUAGAUAUUCGGAAGAACACCAGUGGCGAAGGCGACUACCUGGCCGUCGAUUGACGCUCAUGUGCGAAAGCGUGGGGAGCAAACAGGAUUAGAUACCCUGGUAGUCCACGCCGUAAACGAUGAGUGCUAGUUGUUGGGGUGCAUGCACCUCAGUGACGCAGCUAACGCGUUAAGCACUCCGCCUGGGGAGUACGGCCGCAAGGUUAAAACUCAAGG